rnacentral:rRNA from 1 species
CCAGACUCCUACGGGAGGCAGCAGUGAGGAAUAUUGGUCAAUGGGCGAGAGCCUGAACCAGCCAAGUAGCGUGCAGGAAGACGGCCCUAUGGGUUGUAAACUGCUUUUGUAUGGGGAUAAAGUCAGUCACGUGUGAUUGUUUGCAGGUACCAUACGAAUAAGGACCGGCUAAUUCCGUGCCAGCAGCCGCGGUAAUACGGAAGGUCCGGGCGUUAUCCGGAUUUAUUGGGUUUAAAGGGAGCGUAGGCUGGAGAUUAAGUGUGUUGUGAAAUGUAGACGCUCAACGUCUGACUUGCAGCGCAUACUGGUUUCCUUGAGUACGCACAACGUUGGCGGAAUUCGUCGUGUAGCGGUGAAAUGCUUAGAUAUGACGAAGAACUCCGAUUGCGAAGGCAGCUGACGGGAGCGCAACUGACGCUGAAGCUCGAAGGUGCGGGUAUCGAACAGGAUUAGAUACCCUGGUAGUCCGCACAGUAAACGAUGGAUGCCCGCUGUUGGUACCUGGUAUCAGCGGCUAAGCGAAAGCAUUAAGCAUCCCACCUGGGGAGUACGCCGGCAACGGUGAAACUCAAAGGAAUUGACGGGGGCCC